UGCCCUUGUAAUAAAAAUUUAUGUGUUACGACAUGUCGCAACUAACAAUUUAGUAAAAAUAAUUUGUUGAUAUCUUAUAUGGUCUUUGGAUAUAAGUGAAAAUAAGCCAAAUUCAAAUAUUAGAAUAUGACCUUGACCUUUGACCUUGACCUAAUUUUCAUUUUUUGGACCAAGGACCUCAAAUCAAAAGAUCCUAGGUCUCUAUCACUUAUGGUUUAUAAGAUAGAAAUGCAUAUCACUUAUAUCAGAUGCAUAAGGGGAAAUAACUCUCAUAUGGAGCGGUCAUAUUGCUUGGUCAAAAUAGGACAAAUCAUGCAAAGGAUAUAACGAGCAAUUUUGUAAAAUAAAUUUGUCGUUAUCUUUUACGGUUGCAAAGGAGUUGUCAGCACAAGGAAAACAGUGUUUGGGGAGAUAACUCCUACAAAGAAAACUAUUCGGUUACGCAGGGUAAAUUUCAAAAGCGCAUAAACUGUUCGAUAUCAUAUACCAAAUAUCAAAGCGACAUAUUGCGAAACAAAUGUUUAUCGCAAGAACAAAAUUAGGCGGAAGAAAAAAAAAAAAAAAAAUAAUCAGAAGAAAAACAAUAGGUCUUUCCACAAAAAAGUGGAAAGACCUAAUAAUC
rnacentral:lncRNA from 1 species